UACGUAGGGGACAAGCGUUGUCCGGAAUCACUGGGCGUAAAGGGUGCGUAGGCGGGUCUUUUAAGUCAGGGGUGAAAUCCUGGAGCUCAACUCCAGAACUGCCUUUGAUACUGAAGAUCUUGAGUUCGGGAGAGGAGCGUGGAAUUCCCAGUGUAGAGGUGAAAUUCGUAGAUAUUGGGAAGAACACCGGUGGCGAAGGCGGCGCUCUGGACCGAGACUGACGCUGAGGCGCGAAAGCGUGGGGAGCAAACAGG
rnacentral:rRNA from 1 species